rnacentral:rRNA from 1 species
GGAGGGGGCAAGCGUUAUCCGGAUUUACUGGGUGUAAAGGGAGCGUAGACGGCAUGGCAAGCCAGAUGUGAAAGCCCGGGGCUCAACCCCGGGACUGCAUUUGGAACUGUCAGGCUAGAGUGUCGGAGAGGAAAGCGGAAUUCCUAGUGUAGCGGUGAAAUGCGUAGAUAUUAGGAGGAACACCAGUGGCGAAGGCGGCUUUCUGGACGAUGACUGACGUUGAGGCUCGAAAGCGUGGGGAGCAAACAGGAUUAGAUACCCUGGUAGUCCACGCCGUAAACGAUGAGUACUAGGUGUCGGGGGUUACCCCCCUCGGUGCCGCAGCUAACGCAUUAAGUACUCCGCCUGGGGAGU